GACCAAGGACCACGUAGGGAUACCCGCUGAAUUAA
rnacentral:rRNA from 1 species